AGCAGAUUUACUUCGGUAAUGACGCUGGGGACGCGAGCGGCGGAUGGGUGAGUAACACGUGGGGAACCUGCCCCAUAGUCUGGGAUACCACUUGGAAACAGGUGCUAAUACCGGAUAAUAAAGCAGAUCGCAUGAUCAGCUUAUAAAAGGCGGCGUAAGCUGUCGCUAUGGGAUGGCCCCGCGGUGCAUUAGCUAGUUGGUAAGGUAACGGCUUACCAAGGCAAUGAUGCAUAGCCGAGUUGAGAGACUGAACGGCCACAUUGGGACUGAGACACGGCCCAAACUCCUACGGGAGGCAGCAGUAGGGAAUCUUCCACAAUGGACGCAAGUCUGAUGGAGCAACGCCGCGUGAGUGAAGAAGGUUUUCGGAUCGUAAAGCUCUGUUGUUGGUGAAGAAGGAUAGAGGUAGUAACUGGCCUUUAUUUGACGGUAAUCAACCAGAAAGUCACGGCUAACUACGUGCCAGCAGCCGCGGUAAUACGUAGGUGGCAAGCGUUGUCCGGAUUUAUUGGGCGUAAAGCGAGCGCAGGCGGAAGAAUAAGUCUGAUGUGAAAGCCCUCGGCUUAACCGAGGAAUUGCAUCGGAAACUGUUUUUCUUGAGUGCAGAAGAGGAGAGUGGAACUCCAUGUGUAGCGGUGGAAUGCGUAGAUAUAUGGAAGAACACCAGUGGCGAAGGCGGCUCUCUGGUCUGCAACUGACGCUGAGGCUCGAAAGCAUGGGUAGCGAACAGGAUUAGAUACCCUGGUAGUCCAUGCCGUAAACGAUGAGUGCUAAGUGUUGGGAGGUUUCCGCCUCUCAGUGCUGCAGCUAACGCAUUAAGCACUCCGCCUGGGGAGUACGACCGCAAGGUUGAAACUCAAAGGAAUUGACGGGGGCCCGCACAAGCGGUGGAGCAUGUGGUUUAAUUCGAAGCAACGCGAAGAACCUUACCAGGUCUUGACAUCUAGUGCC
rnacentral:rRNA from 1 species